GAUGAACGCUGGCGGCGUGCCUAAUACAUGCAAGUCGAGCGAACAGAUGAGGAGCUUGCUCCUCUGACGUUAGCGGCGGACGGGUGAGUAACACGUGGAUAACCUACCUAUAAGACUGGGAUAACUUCGGGAAACCGGAGCUAAUACCGGAUAAUAUAUUGAACCGCAUGGUUCAAUAGUGAAAGAUGGUUUUGCUGUCACUUAUAGAUGGAUCCGCGCCGCAUUAGCUAGUUGGUAAGGUAACGGCUUACCAAGGCAACGAUGCGUAGCCGACCUGAGAGGGUGAUCGGCCACACUGGAACUGAGACACGGUCCAGACUCCUACGGGAGGCAGCAGUAGGGAAUCUUCCGCAAUGGGCGAAAGCCUGACGGAGCAACGCCGCGUGAGUGAUGAAGGUCUUCGGAUCGUAAAACUCUGUUAUUAGGGAAGAACAAAUGUGGAAGUAACUAUGCACGUCUUGACGGUACCUAAUCAGAAAGCCACGGCUAACUACGUG
rnacentral:rRNA from 1 species